rnacentral:rRNA from 1 species
AUUGAACGCUGGCGGCAUGCUUUACACAUGCAAGUCGAACGGCAGCGCGGGCUUCGGCCUGGCUGCGAGUGGCGAACGGGUGAGUAAUGCAUCGGAACGUGCCCAGUAGUGGGGGAUAGCCCGUCGAAAGCCGGAUUAAUACCGCAUACGACCUGAUGGUGAAAGCUGGGGACCGAAGGGCCUCUCGCUAUUGUAGCGGCCGAUGUCGGAUUAGCUAGUUGGUGGGGUAAAGGCUUACCUAGGCGACGAUCCGUAGCUGGUCUGAGAGGACGACCAGCCACACUGGGACUGAGACACGGCCCAGACUCCUACGGGAGGCAGCAGUGGGGAAUUUUGGACAAUGGGGGCAACCCUGAUCCAGCCAUGCCGCGUGCGGGAAGAAGGACUUCGGGUUGUAAACCGCUUUUGUUCGGGAAGAAAUCCUCUGGGCUAAUACCCCGGGGGGAUGACGGUACCGGAAGAAUAAGCACCGGCUAACUACGUG